GUGGGGAAUAUUGGUCAAUGGGCGAGAGCCUGAACCAGCCAAGUAGCGUGCAGGAUGACGGCCCUAUGGGUUGUAAACUGCUUUUAUACAGGGAUAAAGUGGGGAACGUGUUCCCUUUUGUAGGUACUGUAUGAAUAAGGACCGGCUAAUUCCGUGCCAGCAGCCGCGGUAAUACGGAAGGUCCGGGCGUUAUCCGGAUUUAUUGGGUUUAAAGGGAGCGCAGGCCGAUGGUUAAGCGUGACGUGAAAUGUAGCCGCUCAACGGCUGAACUGCGUCGCGAACUGGCUAUCUUGAGUGAGUUCGAUGUUGGCGGAAUUCGUGGUGUAGCGGUGAAAUGCUUAGAUAUCACGAAGAACUCCGAUUGCGAAGGCAGCCAACAAGGCCUUUACUGACGCUAAAGCUCGAAGGUGCGGGUAUCGAACAGG
rnacentral:rRNA from 1 species